UAAACUGCAGGCCCAACCAUUUAAUAGUUCCAGCCCAAGCUGCCAUUUUAAUUAAAUCAUUUGCCCAACAUUAAAACCUGAACUUGGUCCCCACCUUUAAUUUAAGAGGCCCAAAAGCAAGAAAAGGAAAAGAAGGCCCAAAAAUACCCCUUCCCCCAUCGUGACUUCUUCUUCCCCAAUUCAUUCUCCCAUUUCAAAAUUUCUUCAAGUCCCUAGUUGAAGCAAUAGCAGCGCCUCCCCUUUCUUCUUCUUUCUCUUCCUCAUCCCACACCUCAUCUUGGUGGAAUUCGAAGUCCCGCCGGCACGUACUCCCUAAAUCGACGAAACAACGGCGGUCUCUCUUCUCUUCCUUUCGUCGCCGUCUCCGACUACUCGACGGGUAGAUCGCCGCUGUCACUCGCCGUCCGGCCCUGACCCUUCGCGAGGCAGCCUCGACACUCACCGGCGACUCAGCGUUGACGCCGUCGCGACAUGGAUCCAUCAUUGCCGUCGCGACGCCCAAAUGCCGGUGCUCUGCCGUCGGCAUCGCGGUGUUUUCCUCGACGUCUCGCCGGACAGACCCUCAUCCGCAAGCUAAGUUCUUUUGGCUUGGUGUACUUAGUUUUGAUUGAUUAUGAAAUUUGGGCAGUAGCUAUGUGGUGUUGAUGGUCUUGACUAUAGUGUGCUAAAACUUUGAUUUUCCUUGGGCAGUAGCCAUGGUAAAUUUGCUACUGAUUUUUGGCUGGAAACAGUUUAUGUUCUCCCUUGAUUUGAAAUGUAUGGUGUGUAAAACUCAAGGCUCUAAAUCUUGCGCCUAGCAUGAUGUUCGAACUAGAAGCAGUGUGGUUAAAUUUUGUUUUGUCUGUGCUCUGCAGUGUUGCAGAUUAUAGUUAAACUUGGUGCUUAGGAUUCUUUCUUCUGGUAUUCCUAUUAUGUUGUGCCCCUUUUUUUUCAUGCUUCUAUGUCCCUAUGAUGGGGAAGAAAGGGUGUUACCUCUUGAAGUGGCUACGCUCUUUUAAAUCUUUGUUCCUAAUUCUUCCAAGUUCACUUCCCACUCUGGAACUCCUUGUUGUGAAGUAAGGGAAAGGGGUGAGCUUAUGUUUUAGUAUGAAAAACUUGUGGGGAGGAAGAAAAGAGAUGUUACCUAUGGAAAGUAGGGCUGCCUGCAGGAACUAUGCAGAAAGCUCUCAAACUUGCUCUCAAACUUGCUACUGCUCGUUCUUGAUUCUCACUAGAAGUUGCUGAAUUUUUUAUGUGUGUGGAAGGGAGAAAUUUAUGCAUAUGAUGGGGUUUUUAUAGGCAAAACUUGAUGUACUUUGGGAGGAUUAAAUGGGAUGAUAUUGUAGUUGCCUUCAUGCUGCAGCAUAUCCCUUAUUUGGUCCACAUUAUAGCACUUAACUUAAGACUUUUGGUGUUAUUUGAAGUACUAGGUACUUGAUCAUUAACUCUAUCUUGUUCCCAUAUGAUUUCCUAGUACUUAGCUAUUAACUUUCAUUGUUUGCUUGUGGCUGGUGAGAAAACAGGUGCUGCCAUAAUGUGGAGGAUUUGCAUGAUUGACUUGCCCCUUUUGGGAAGUCUUUGGUCUUUCAACUAAAGAGAGGACUUGGGCUGCCAAGCUGCUGUCCGAGACGGGCUCGCUGCCUCAGACCCAAUGGGCUGAUCGGAUAGGGCCGACUUAUCGGGCUUCAAAAGGGCGUAAUGCGGUUCACAUAGAUUAGGCCCGUUGUUUAUAGUCUUGUGAUUGUAGUCAUGAUUUUUUUUCUCAAACUCAUAAAUUCAUGCACUUUAUUUUGUAAAUUAGCGUGUAGUUCGAGAUGUAAGCGAACACGCUUAGUUAGAAAAUGAAAUCUUUAUAUUCUUCUCAA